UGAACUUAAGCAUAUCAAUAAGCGGAGGAAAAGAAACCAACAGGGAUUGUCUUAGUAACGGCGAGUGAAGCGACAAAAGCUCAAAUUUGAAAUCUGGCACCUUCGGUGUCCGAGUUGUAAUUUGAAGAAGGUAACUUUGGAGUUGGCUCUUGUCUAUGUUCCUUGGAACAGGACGUCACAGAGGGUGAGAAUCCCGUGCGAUGAGAUGUCCAACUCUAUGUAAAGUGCUUUCGAAGAGUCGAGUUGUUUGGGAAUGCAGCUCUAAGUGGGUGGUAAAUUCCAUCUAAAGCUAAAUAUUGGCGAGAGACCGAUAGCGAACAAGUACAGUGAUGGAAAGAUGAAAAGAACUUUGAAAAGAGAGUGAAAAAGUACGUGAAAUUGUUGAAAGGGAAGGGUUUGAGAUCAGACUUGGUAUUUUGUAUGUCUUGCUUUCGGGUGGGGCCUCUGCAGUUUACUGGGCCAGCAUCGGUUUGGACGGUAGGAUAAUGACAUUGGAAUGUGGCACUACUUCGG
rnacentral:rRNA from 1 species